GGGAACUGCUGUGGGAGCUGGCUGGGGCAGCGACAGAACCCAGCCAGCUCCCUGCCAUCAGCAGCAAGCUCAGCAACACACUGAAGCUGGCUGAACUUACACCUUGGGAUGGUUCAGCGUCACGUGCUCAGAAACAAGGAGACUGCUAGACUGUCCCAGCAGCACAGAAAUGCCAUAUGGACCUGGCAGAAGUGUGAAUUUUGUCUCAAUUACAGAUGAUCCUAGCACUGUGCAAGCAAACAAGCUUAAUGAAAGUGCAACAUGAAUUUGGGUGUAAUCAAGCUAUGGUGAGAUCCCCUUGCAAUCAGAGGAGCAAGAUUAAAUAUGGCUGUAUAAUCCAGCAUUGAUCCACUGAGAAGUGGGCAGUCUGGACCACAGGAAAUACUUGUCUUGUGAUUGUGCUGGUACAUGCUCCUGAUCAUUCUGCAAGGUUGCAGUGUAGACUGUGGGUCUUAGAAAACCAAUCUCCAGUCAAAGGGUCCCAUCAUUGAUUUAACAAGAAA
rnacentral:lncRNA from 1 species